AUUGAACGCUAGCGGCAGGCUUUACACAUGCAAGUCGAGCGAGCGGCGGACGGGUGAGUAAUGUCUGGGAAACUGCCUGAUGGCGGGGGAUAACUACUGGAAACGGUGGCUAAUACCGCAUACCAUCAGAUGUGCCCAGAUGGGAUUAGCUAGUUGGUGGGGUAAUGGCUCACCUAGGCGACGAUCCCUAGCUGGUCUGAGAGGAUGACCAGCCACACUGGAACUGAGACACGGUCCAGACUCCUACGGGAGGCAGCAGUGGGGAAUAUUGCACAAUGGGCGCAAGCCUGAUGCAGCCAUGCCGCGUGUGUGAAGAAGGCCUUCGGGUUGUAAAGCACUUUCAGCAGGGAGGCGGUACUUGCAGAAGAAGCACCGGCUAACUACGUGCCAGCCGCCGCGGUAAUUC
rnacentral:rRNA from 1 species